UCGGAUAUGGUGCACGGUGCACGCCCGCUAUUGUUACAUCGUACGCCAGACGUACGAAGCGGGAGGCCUGGGUUCGACACCCGGUGUUCGAA